GUGGACUUAGUUUAAUAAAAACAUCAGAUUGUGAUUCUGAAAACAGAGGUUAAAACCCCCUUCUCCACC
rnacentral:tRNA from 1 species